rnacentral:rRNA from 1 species
AUGUCUUUUGAGUACCUUCGUUUCCUCGGCGGGUCCGCCCGCCGGUUGGACAACAUUCAAACCCUUUGCAGUUGCAAUCAGCGUCUGAAAAAACUUAAUAGUUACAACUUUCAACAACGGAUCUCUUGGUUCUGGCAUCGAUGAAGAACGCAGCGAAAUGCGAUAAGUAGUGUGAAUUGCAGAAUUCAGUGAAUCAUCGAAUCUUUGAACGCACAUUGCGCCCCUUGGUAUUCCAUGGGGCAUGCCUGUUCGAGCGUCAUUUGUACCUUCAAGCUCUGCUUGGUGUUGGGUGUUUUGUCUCGCCUCCGCGCGCAGACUCGCCUUAAAACAAUUGGCAGCCGGCGUAUUGAUUUCGGAGCGCAGUACAUCUCGCGCUUUGCACUCAUAACGACGACGUCCAAAAGUACAUUUUUACACUCUUGACCUCGGAUCAGGUAGGGAUACCCGCUGAACUUAAGCAUAUCAAUAAGCGGAGGA